rnacentral:misc_RNA from 1 species
AUUAACUGAUGAUCCUGGAAUGGUAAUUCUUUUUUUAAUUAAUUUAUUUCUGAAAAUGUUGUGAAAGAACUACUUGGAGUUUGAUAUUUUUCUAGUAUGAGGAUUCACUACUACAUUUUUAUAUGGUGCAUUUCUUCAAUUUGGACCAUUGUGGUUAUGAUUACAUUUUGGCUCUGUAUUUAGUGUUGGAAACUUUGUUGGCCAUGUCUGAUUGCUCAUUUGCAAAACCUAGGUUGAUGUGGAGGAUCCAUUUAAGGAAGAAUAGUUAAGCAGCUGCUGUUGUCUGCCUUUUUUUCUCCUAGUGGGUUGGGGCUUUUUUUUUACUGGGUGGUCUGUAGGGGUCUGGGCUUCUCACUGGGCAGUAGCCCUCCAAACUUUAUAAAGUUGGCUGCCUUCAUUAUACAGCCAAGUGAUGGCCAAUUUCUUUUUCUUUCAUAUAUUAGACUAGAAACAAACGGCAUCUGAAGUUUAUGUUUUGGAAAUUGAAUUUAGCAUAGUACUUGAACAUCCUUGAACAUAAAUGAUGUGCGUCUGUUUGAUACAGGUGGGAAUUGAAGCAUGGAAGAA